rnacentral:rRNA from 1 species
CAGCAGCAGCCGCGGUAAAACGGAGGGGGCUAGCGUUGUUCGGAAUUACUGGGCGUAAAGCGCACGUAGGCGGCUUGGUAAGUUAGAGGUGAAAGCCUGGAGCUCAACUCCAGAAUUGCCUUUAAGACUGCCGAGCUAGCAGGUGAGAGAGGUAAGUGGAAUUCCGAGUGUAGAGGUGAAAUUCGUAGAUAUUCGGAAGAACACCAGUGGCGAAGGCGGCUUACUGGCUCAUACUGGACGCUGAGGUGCGAAAGCGUGGGGAGCAAACAGGAUUAGAUACCCGUGUAGUCCCUGUCUCUUAUAA